rnacentral:rRNA from 1 species
UACGUAGGCAGCAAACGUUGUUCGGAGUUACUGGGCGUAAAGAGUGCGUAGGCGGUUCGCUAAGUCUGGUGUGAAAUCUCCCGGCUCAACUGGGAGGGUGCGCUAGAUACUGGUGGGCUUGAGUAUGGGAGAGGGAAGCGGAAUUCCUGGUGUAGCGGUGAAAUGCGUAGAUAUCAGGAGGAACACCGGCGGUGUAGACGGCUUCCUGGACCAUUACUGACGCUGAGGCACGAAAGCGUGGGGAGCAAACAGG